UUACACUCCCAACCCAAUGUGAACCAUACCAAACUGUUGCCUCGGCGGGGUCACGCCCCGGGUGCGUCGCAGCCCCGGAACCAGGCGCCCGCCGGAGGGACCAACCAAACUCUUUUCUGUAGUCCCCUCGCGGACGUUAUUUCUUACAGCUCUGAGCAAAAAUUCAAAAUGAAUCAAAACUUUCAACAACGGAUCUCUUGGUUCUGGCAUCGAUGAAGAACGCAGCGAAAUGCGAUAAGUAAUGUGAAUUGCAGAAUUCAGUGAAUCAUCGAAUCUUUGAACGCACAUUGCGCCCGCCAGUAUUCUGGCGGGCAUGCCUGUCCGAGCGUCAUUUCAACCCUCGAACCCCUCCGGGGGGUCGGCGUUGGGGACCUCGGGAGCCCCUAAGACGGGAUCCCGGCCCCGAAAUACAGUGGCGGUCUCGCCGCAGCCUCUCCUGCGCAGUAGUUUGCACAACUCGCACCGGGAGCGCGGCGCGUCCACGUCCGUAAAACACCCAACUUUCUGAAAUGUUGACCUCGGAUCAGGUAGGAAUACCCGCUGAACUUAAGCAUAUCAAUAAGCGGAGAGAA
rnacentral:rRNA from 1 species